rnacentral:rRNA from 1 species
AACCUAAGGAAAUGGCAUAUUAUCAAACCCCUUGACUGUGUGUUUUACCCUGAACUAGAAUCUAUAUCUCAUCUGUUCUUUGACUGUAUAGUGGCUAAAAAUGUGUGGUCUUUUAUUAAGGACCACUCUAGAUUCCAGAUCAGGAAUGAUUUUGAAUCUAUGGUUAGAUUCUGGAUCUCCAAUGAUAAAAACUCUGCUCUAAAUACAAUUAGUUAUAUUGUUGUUUGGUGUAUGUGGAAAUAUAUAAAUUCUAUGAUUUUCAAUAACACCAUUUGGAUAUCUAUCAACCAAGUCUUGACAUUGAUCCUAAGAACGAUCAAAUUCUGGGCUGUAUUGUCUCCAGAUCAGUGCAAGAUGACGCUGACGACCUUCUCAGAACAAUUGGCAAGAUUCAUCCAGAAAACUUUGAUGGUUACAUGUGGCUGA